AUGGGCAAAACAUCUGCUUCUGGUGUUGUUCAGGAGAGUGAAAAAGUUGGGAAUGGUUCACCCUCUUCUCCUACCAAGGGGAAAAGGGGAAGGAAAGGGUCCCAGAUUAUAGCAAAUAAAAAGUAUCCCCUGAGAUCUGCACAUAGUAGUGCCAGGGUGCUUCGGUCUACUUCAAAAGACAAGAGUAAGACGCCUAAUGAGCCAGUAAGUCCAUUGAGAUCCGCUCAUAGUAGUCCCAGGGUUCUUCGAUCUACCCCUAAAAACAAGAGCAAGACACCUAAAAAGCAAGUAAAUUCAUUGAGGUCCGCACAUAGUAGUGCCAGGGUGCUUAGCUCUACCUUGAAGAAAAAGGUACCUAAUGAGCCUGUAAACGACAGUACUGCUGCUCAACCAGCUGCCAGGAAAAGGAAAAGAGGCAGGCCCUCAAAUGCAGCGAGUCCCAAGAAUGAGUGCAUCAAAAUUCGCCAGCGAGUUAGAUACAUUUUGAAUCGAAUGAACUACGAACAAAGUUUCAUUCAAGCAUACGCUGGUGAAGGUUGGAAAGGUCAAAGUUUGGAAAAAAUAAGACCUGAGAAGGAGCUUGAGCGAGCCAAGGCAGAAAUCUUGCGAUGCAAGUUAAGAAUUCGGGAAGCUUUUCGUAAUAUGGAUUCUCUUCUAUUGGAGGGGAAGCUUGACGAAUCUUUGUUUGAUUCUGAGGGAGAAAUAUCUAGUGAAGAUAUUUUCUGUGCCAUAUGUGCUUCAAAGCAUGUUACACUAAAAAAUGAUAUCAUUCUUUGCGAUGGAGUGUGUGAUAGAGGAUUCCACCAGAAAUGUUUGAAUCCUCCUUUGCUGGCAGAAGAUAUUCCUCAGGGGGAUGAAGGAUGGCUUUGCCCUGCGUGCGAUUGCAAGCUAGAUUGUAUAGAUUUACUAAAUGAACUCCAAGGGAGCACACUUGCUAUUCAUGACUCAUGGGAGAAAGUUUUUCCUGAGUCAACUUCAAAUGGCUUAAACCAAAUUGGAGCAUCUGAUCUUCCAUCCGAUGAUUCAGAGGAGGAUUAUGACCCUACUUUAGCUGAAGGGGACACGGUAGAUGAAAACAAAUCAUCUGCAGAGGAUGGGGACGAAGGAUCAGAUUCUGAUGACCUGGAUUUUAUAACAUCAUCCGAUGAGUCUGAACCUUCAAAGAAGAAAAGGUCUGAAUCAAAGAACAAAAACACCGUCAAUGACCUUGCGUUGCCUUCGGAUGACUCAGAGGAUGAUGACUUUGAUCCAGAAGGUCCAAAUUCCAGUGAAGACCAAAAGACCAAAACAAACUCAGAUGAGUCAGACUUUACAUCUGAUUCUGAUGAUUUCUGUGCUGAGAUUUCUAAAUCUUCUGGCAAGGAUAAAGUUUCGGCACCUUCAUUCUCAGACCAAACUAAUGGAGUGGACAUUAUGGAGGCAGAGCUAGAGCAAGACUCUGUGCUACCAGCUUCAAAUAGGCGACAAGUUGGACAUUUGGAUUACAAAAAGCUUUAUGAUGAGGCUUAUGGAAAAGAAACCACUGAUUCAAGCGAUGAAGAAGAGUGGUCUGGACAUAGCCCAAAUGGAAAUCCAGAAGACAGUGAUACAGAUUCAUUUGCUGGACCACUUAAGCCGGCAAAAACCAGAAGAGCACGAGGUGGGCACCAGAACAAUGAGCGUACUCCACAGAGUGAACGGCACAGCGGUUCAGUAAGUGAACAGCAUCCUGAAGUGCUUUCCAAUGGCACCAGUAGCACGGUCAGGAAAAAAGGUUAUGGUCCUAUUGUUAAUCAGAAGCUCAAGGCAUAUUUCGAAAAAGAACCUUACCCUAGUCGCCCAGCAAAAGAAAGUCUGGCACAAGAGCUUGGCCUGACAUUCAAUCAGAUCACUAGAUGGUUUUCUAGUACUCGUCAUUACUCAAGAGUUACUGCUGCCAAAAAAGGGAAGCGUUCAGAAAACUAUACUGCUGAGAACAAUGGCAUUGCUGCAGAUAGCAUACAACAGAGAGAACCCAAUGACAGUCUAUUGGGCAAACCAAAUGUAGAUAGAAACGGUAUUGUUUCGGAGGAAAGGAUGGCGCAAAAAAAUCUUGAUGAAGGUGAGAAAGAAGAUACUCCAUUCAGACAACAUAUCAGCUGUGAGCAGACACUAGAUGGGACUCCUGCUAACAAACACAACACUGCCAACUCAAGAGAAGUUGACUCACCAAUUGGUGCGCCUGGAGGAAACCAGCAAAGUGGCACCUCGAGGAAUGCAGAAGAUACCCCACUCGGACAAGAUAUUGGCUGUGAGCAGACCGUGGUUGCUGUCAACCAAAACUGCACUAUCGGCUCGAGCAAUGUCGGGUCACCGAAAGGUGUGCCUGGAGGAAACAAGCGCCUUAAUAACUCUCCAAGGAGUGUUGGAAGCCCAAGACGUGGGUCUGCUGAGAAGAACAUUCCUGGGCUAGAACAUGUAGACGAGGCAAGGAGGAAGGCUAUACUGCGGGAGCUGAGGAAGAUGAAGGCCGCAGGCAGGUGA
rnacentral:rRNA from 1 species